AAAGGUUUUCACACCAGCGACGUUUGUGUCAGACAGAAACCGUACCGCGGGUUUCGUUUGUUCACCUGUCGAGCCUCGCAAAUGUCGAAGCCACCUCCGAAGCCGGCCAAACCAGGCCAAGUCAAGGUGUUCCGAGCGCUAUUCACCUUUGACCCCAGAACGCCAGACGAGCUGUUCUUUGAGGAAGGAGACUUUCUGUAUAUCUCUGACACAACUGACAGUAACUGGUGGAAGGGGACGUGCCGAGGAAGGACGGGACUCAUUCCAAGUAACUAUGUGGCUGAACAGGCGGAGUCCAUCGACAAUCCAAUGCACGAAGCAGCCAAACGAGGCAAUCUGAGCUGGCUGAGGGAAUGUGUGGAGAACAAGGUUGGAAUCAAUGGGCUCGAUAAAGCGGGAAACACGCCGCUCUACUGGGCGUGUCACGGGGGACACAAAGAAGUGGUGGAGGUGCUGCUGAGCCAAACCAACGUGGAGCUCAACCAGCAGAAUAAACUUGGCGACACCGCUCUGCACGCUGCUGCCUGGAAGGGUUACUCUGACAUUGUGGAAAUGUUGCUGAACAAGGAUGCGAGGACGGACGUCAGGAACAACGAGAAUAAACUGGCCCUGGAGAUGUCCACCAACCCAAUGUGUGCUUCACUUCUCAAAAAGAAGCAGGCAGGCAACACCACGCGCUUACACAGCAACGCUGAAGAGUAUUUGGAUGAUGAGGACUCGGACUGAGCUGGCCGGGUCAAAACAUCUUCACUGUAUUCCAUUAUUUUUUGGGGAGGGGGUCGUGGAGUUUAGAGAGAUUUAUUACAGACCAAAAAUGGAUUUGCUGCUCCCUUUUAAACUGUAACUGCAUUUUAGUUCCAUUAUUUUGUGCAAACACCUCAGCAUCACCGCAUUGUCCGCUUUGAAGUGAGGCGUUUCAGAACCUACCAUGGAUUUAUCUGUGAUGUUGUCAUGGAGAAAGCGGCAAAGCACUAAGAACACAUUCCAGACAUGCAUAUUGUGUGUUUAACCCAUUUCCACUGGGCAUUAAAGUGCCAGCGCAGAUUAAAAGAUUGGUCUGGUUUGUGUCUAGUUAAGUUUGAAUGCUCCACCUGAAUCACUGAACCACAGAAUCCCCCUAAAGGAAUUGUAAAUGCCUGAUCUCUUACAGCUUGCUAUCAAAAAUGUAACUGUACAUCUGGGAGGCAACGCAACGUUUGCAUUUAACCUUAAUAUUUCUUCUUUUAAACCCAAUGAGAUGUUCUUGUGUGGUAACCUGCUUGAAACACGCCUUCCCCUCCAUCACGUCAUGAAAGUCACCUGCAUAUCACAUGUUUGGAUCGGUUAUAACACCUGCAAUUCAACCCCUGUAAAACAGACUUUAGGUAACUCUUCUUUUAAUCUUUUGAUGGUGUUUUUUCCAUUCUGGGAGCGUUUUCUUUGCUUCUCUCCCAAACAUUUAAUAUAUAUAAAAUGUCUAUACCCAGAUAUAGAUAUAUGUUUAAGUGCCUUAACUGUGACAAAGAGUGUCUUCUGUUAUCUGUCAAUGUGAUCCUGCUUUUGUCUUGAGGUUAUGAAUUACUUAAAAUAUUUUUUUUUCUUCUAGAUUCCUAUCUGCUCUUUAAUCUACAAUAAAAUAUUUUUAACUU
ensembl:lncRNA